rnacentral:lncRNA from 1 species
GAAAAUGUCAGAAAGCUUGCAGACGAACAAGGUCAGUCUGAAAGGCAAAAACACAACCCAAACGGGAGUCGGUGAGCAGGGGCCACAUCGAACACAGAUGUCACACUGUGCCGCUGAGGGCUGUGAUCACAGGUGUCCAAUCAAGUUUUGUGAAGCGGGGGCCCAGGGGAAGGAGGGACCUUGGAGGAGCAGGACCGCAACAGAGCCGGGCUCGCAGCAGGUGAUUGUGACAAUAGUAAUAUCUGCGGAGGAAAUGAGUAUCAGGAGUGAGGCGCCAAAACACAUGCAGUGCUAAUCAAUGGAUUUGUGUGCGGCUAUUCGAUGGAGAGAGGCCAAGCACACAAACACGCUGGAGAGCAAUCAUCCAAAGGACUUUUUUGUUCAGAUUCCGCUUUUCAUCAAUACAUACCCUCCCCACGGUGAGAGUGAAG